rnacentral:pre_miRNA from 13 species
UGUAAACAUCCCCGACUGGAAGCUGUAAAAUACCUUCAAGCUUUCAGUCAGAUGUUUGCU